GUAAAAAUAUUUUAUGUAAAAAAUUUAAAUUAAUAUAAAGUAAUUAUUAUUUAUCAAAGUUUUACAUCAAGAUAAUAAUUAUUUUAUUUUCUGUUUUGAUUAUGGUUAAAAUAUUUACUAGAAGUAAGCCUGAUGAUGGCAGGCAGUGCUGCCGAGGGCGUUCGCCACUAGUGGGGACGUUUCAAUACUGCUGAGUGGUGCUUGAUUGGUAGUUGUUACACUGAAUUCAUAUAUAUUACUUAUCUAUAAUGGCUCUUAUUUAUAAAUAACACAAAAAAUCAAGUACAUAGGAAACUAAAUCAUGAAAAUAAAUGUAAAAUUGAAAGACUUGUAUUGAGGAAUAAAAUAGAUGUAAAAUAUGACAAAGUAUAAAGAUAUGUAUGAGGAGAGGCCAAAAAGUUCUUAUUUCAUCAUGACAGAGACAAAUGCUAGGGACUUGAAAUUUUCCUCCAACUAUUCCUUUUCUAUAAAUCCAUUUUCUACAGCCACAUACUUCUCCACAGCAGUAAUGAUCUCAUCAUCAAAGAAACUUCUUCCCUGUAAAUGUUUUUUUCGUAUUUUGAAACAGGAAGAAAUCUGAAGAUGUUAAAUCAAGAGAAUACAGGGAAUGGGAUAAGGUUUUAUAGCC
rnacentral:lncRNA from 1 species